ACCUCGGUAGUGUAGUGGUAGCACGCGUUCUCGAUAUGGAUGAGACACGGGUUCGACUCUCAUCUAAGGUC